rnacentral:rRNA from 1 species
UAACCUGCUAAAUAGCCCGUGCCGCUUUGGCGGCUCGCCGGCUUCUUAGAGGGACUAUCGGCUCAAGCCGAUGGAAGUUUGAGGCAAUAACAGGUCUGUGAUGCCCUUAGAUGUUCUGGGCCGCACGCGCGCUACACUGACAGAGCCAGCGAGUACUCCCUUGGCCGGAAGGUCCGGGUAAUCUUAGAAACUCUGUCGUGCUGGGGAUAGACCAUUGCAAUUAUUGGUCUUCAACGAGGAAUCCCUAGUAAGCGCAAGUCAUCAGCUUGCGUUGAUUACGUCCCUGCCCUUUGUACACACCGCCCGUCGCU